CCAGGGCAGUAGAGAGCCUGGCUGGGCCAGGUACUUUUCAGGGGGCAAGGCCUAAUCACGGGAGGAAUGGCCAUGCACCCUUAGAAAAAAAUACAGAUUUUUAUUUUUAUUUUAAGCAUUUCUCUGGCCAUACUGCAGCCCAGCACUCAGCAGCAUGUGCUGGGAUGAGAAGAAAAGCUGCAGCUGCUGCUUCCAGAUGCACAGAGCCUGCUCUUCAUGGCUCCUCUUCACUUCAGCAGCGGUGACAGCAUGACAUCUCAUACACCGUCCCGGAAAAUUAAACCACUGGGACCUGAGGAAGGGGGUGAAUGCUGUCCAACAGACACAACGUAUGUGAGUACCAGGAGGGGUCGGCUGCAAAUGGAGGAGGACCAUGAAGCCACCAGGACAUGAGGAAGGGGGAGGUGGCUGCAGCUCAUCGGUAACACUAGCGCCACCUGCAUCAUCUAUUGAUGUAGGUGAUGAGACUUUACGAUCCACGUGGACUACAGCUGGAAACGGUAACCUGUGCGGACGCAGCGGUAGCGGAGCAAGGUACCUUGCCCGAAGCAUGGCGAGCGGACACGAUGCAUGAAUUGGGGUUCCCCGUCACUCUACGAAGAAAACUACACCAAAAAAUUUUUCAAACUCAUGUCAAACUUUUUUCAUGUCGACAUAGUACAUGUCGACCUAGGGUUCCUGUCGACCUAUAAACCAUGUCGACCAAUAGUGGUCGACCUAGUCACUAUCGACCUAAGUCUAUUCUAUCUAACAUACCACACCCCUCCAGAAGAUGUCCGGAGAGGAGAAGCAGGUGGGUGGCGAAGGAGGGUGGGGCCGGGCUAAUUGUGUCAUUAGGCUCCCCCCCCACAUGGGGAAAUACCUCUAUUGGACUAUAUUUGCAUAGGUGCAGAGCUAAAAUGACACCAAUAGCGUAACAUUGCGACAUUGCCCCACCCCCUCCGUCGGACCCGUAGCUUCUCUAUAUUUAUCUCCCUAUUGCCCAGUGCCAACUUCACUAGUAAGAGGGCAGAAUGCGGGAGGGUUGCCCUCUCUUAGUCUCGCUCUCACUUAUAUCUGUAAUCUUUAUGGAUAUUGGGGGUAAUUCCAAGUUGAUUGCA